UCCCAUACACACGAAAUGAACUACUAAACAUCAGAGCAACUUUAUCCCGUAGUUGCCACCCUGAUCUUCAGGGUUUUCAUUCGGAUAUCCUUACUAACUCUACGGAUCGUAGCCCAAACAAACACACGAGAGCUCGCCCAUGGAGGCUACUCCCCCGCAGCAGAGCGAGGGGCAAGCGAGCCGGCUGCAGACUCCGCUUGGAGAAGAAAGGUUUCCGUGCACCUUUACCUGGAUUAGUACUGGCUAACGUGAGAUCACUCAGCAACAAGCUGGAUGAGCUCCAACUUCGGCUGAGGACGGACAAGAGCUAUUCACAUAUUGCUGCUUUCUGCUUUACGGAAACCUGGCUCCACUCCAAUAUUUCUGACACGGCGAUGGACCUGCCCGGCUAUCAGCUCUUUAGAGCGGACCGCGAUGCGACAGCCACCGGGAAAACAAAAGGCGGAGGUGUCUGCUUUUAUGUGAGUAACGAGUGGUGCAGCGAUUUAACAGUCAUCGCUGAAUUAUGUUCCCCCGAUCUGGAAUUACUGGUGAUACACUGCAAACCCUUCUACUCACCUAGAGAAAUAUCAUCCAUUAUCCUUGCGUGUGUCUACGUCCAGCCUCAGGCGCACGCUGACACCGCACAGCAACUUUUAGCAGAUCAGAUCACGGAGUUGGAGAACAAGUUCCCUAACUCCACUUUAUUUGUCAUGGGUGACUUUAACCACACUGAUCUGAGAUCUGAACUUCCAAAAUACCAUCAGCUGGUGCGCUGCGCCACCAGGGGAGAACGGACUCUUGAUCAGUGCUAUUCUACCAUCAGAGAGGCAUAUCGCGCGUGCGCGUGCGCACCACUAGGCAAUAGCGAUCAUUCUGUGAUUAAACUCAUCCCCACAUACCAGUCCCUACUCAGGAAACAAAAACCGGUCAAGAGGUCUGUCCAGAUACGAACACCUGAUGCAACUGAAUCACUGCAAGCCUGUUUUGACAUUACAGACUGGGCAGCUAUUAAGCUGGCAUGCAAUGACAUUGAUGAGUAUGCAGACACAUGCUCAUCCUACGUCUACUUCUGUGAGGAACUCUGCAUCCCCAGACAAUCCAUUGUCAUUUAUAGUAAUAAUAAACCGUGGUUCAACAAGGAGGUGAGGCUACUGAGGAGAGGGAAGGAGGCGGCCCACAGGAGCGGAGAUAAGGACGCGUACACCAAAGCCAAAUAUGCCCUCAGCAAAGCCAUCCAGCAUGCUAAAGGGGUGUAUAAGACUAGAAUUGAACAACAGGU
rnacentral:lncRNA from 1 species